rnacentral:rRNA from 1 species
AUUGAACGCUGGCGGCAGGCCUAACACAUGCAAGUCGAACGAGUGGCGGACGGGUGAGUAAUGUAUGGGAAACUGCGCGAUGGAGGGGGAUAACUACUGGAAACGGUAGCUAAUACCGCAUACCAUCGGAUGUGCCAAGAUGGGAUUAGCUAGUAGGUGGGGUAAAGGCUCACAUAGGCGACGAUCCCUAGCGUGUCUGAGAGGAUGACCCGCCACACUGGAACUUGGACACGGUCCAGACUCCUACGGUAGGCAGCAGUGGGGAAUAUUGCACAAUGGGCGCAAGCCUGAUGCAGCCAUGCCGCGUGUAUGAAGAAGGCCUUCGGGUUGUAAAGUACUUUCAGCGGGGAGGCGUUACCCGCAGAAGAAGCACCGGCUAACUCCGUGCCAGCAGCCGCGGUAAUAC